rnacentral:misc_RNA from 1 species
CGCACAUUGCGCCCGCCAGUAUUCUGGCGGGCAUGCCUGUCCGAGCGUCAUUACAACCCUCAGGCCCCCGGGCCUGGCGUUGGGGAUCGGCGGAGCCUCCGGGCACACGCCGUCCCCUAAAUACAUUGGCGGUCUCGCUGCAGCCCACUGCGUAGUAGCUAACACCUCGCAACUGGAAAGCGGCGCGGCCAUGCCGUAAAACACCCAACUUUUAUGAUGUUGACCUCGGAUCAGGUAGGAAUACCCGCUGAACUUAA